CAAGGUGACACUAUCUGUACCUCACUACUUCCCUGCUUCUCUGGUACAGAGACCACCUGAGGAAGACCCCACGGGAGAAACAUAUGCCCAGGUGAAACCCUCCAGGCACAGGAGGGCAGAAGCUGUCCUACCUUCUGUCCUGUCAGGAGAAGUCCUGGAAACAAAAGAUGGAAACAAAACAGAAGAGGGCAGAGAGAUAGACACUCAGGCUGCUGAUUCAGAGGAGCCCCAAGAUGUGGUCUAUGCCCAGCUGUGUAGCAGGUCGCUCAGACAGGGGACAGCUGUACCUCCCCGCUCCCAGGCAGGGGAAGCCACGGAGGAACCCAGUGUAUAUGCUGCCCUGGCAGUCACUCGACCAGGUUCUGUUCCCGAUGACAAGGAGCAAUGACCUCGCCUGCCAAGAGUUCUAACAGAGACCUCCAGAAAUUCUGGGAACCCUUGCAAAUCUGGCUGUACUAUAACUAACAUCAUACAUUCUAGAAAUAAAAUAGAUUUUUUAAUAAUCAA